rnacentral:tRNA from 1 species
GAACUAAGGUGGCAGUAAGGUACUGUCCACGGACUGCAAAUCUGUUGUAUAUGGGUUCGACUCCCACUUAGUUCU